UGGGCGGAUUAGUGGCGAACGGGUGAGUAACACGUGGGUGAUCUGCCCUGCACUUCGGGAUAAGCCUGGGAAACUGGGUCUAAUACCGGAUAUGACCACAGGAUGCAUGUUUUGUGGUGGAAAGGUUUACUGGUGCAGGAUGAGCCCGCGGCCUAUCAGCUUGUUGGUGGGGUAAUGGCCUACCAAGGCGACGACGGGUAGCCGGCCUGAGAGGGCGACCGGCCACACUGGGACUGAGACACGGCCCAGACUCCUACGGGAGGCAGCAGUGGGGAAUAUUGCACAAUGGGCGAAAGCCUGAUGCAGCGACGCCGCGUGAGGGAUGACGGCCUUCGGGUUGUAAACCUCUUUCAGCAGGGACGAAGCGCAAGUGACUGUACCUGCAGAAGAAGCACCGGCUAACUACGUGCCAGCAGCCGCGGUAAUACGUAGGGUGCGAGCGUUGUCCGGAAUUACUGGGCGUAAAGAGUUCGUAGGCGGUUUGUCGCGUCGUGUGUGAAAUCCCGCAGCUCAACUGCGGGCUUGCAGGCGAUACGGGCAGACUUGAGUACUGCAGGGGAGACUGGAAUUCCUGGUGUAGCGGUGAAAUGCGCAGAUAUCAGGAGGAACACCGGUGGCGAAGGCGGGUCUCUGGGCAGUAACUGACGCUGAGGAACGAAAGCGUGGGUAGCGAACAGGAUUAGAUACCCUGGUAGUCCACGCCGUAAACGGUGGGCGCUAGGUGUGGGUUUCCUUCCACGGGAUCCGUGCCGUAGCUAACGCAUUAAGCGCCC
rnacentral:rRNA from 1 species